rnacentral:tRNA from 4 species
GCACCGCUGGCUCAAUUGGUAGAGCAGUUGACUCUUAAUCAAUUGGUUCCAGGUUCGAGUCCUGGGCGGUGUA